rnacentral:lncRNA from 1 species
GGAUUCAAAUUAGGAACAAAUACAAGAUUCAUAUCUAUGCAACAUGAGAUUUUGAAUGAAUACAAAUAUUAAUAGCUUACAUACAGUUUUGAAUUUUAAUUGAGAAAGGAUACAAGAUUCUAAAAAAAUCUAUAAAUACAAAACAAACUAAUAGGAAAUUGUUCUUCCUCAACUUGGUCUUCAACAAAGUUUUUCGAAA